ensembl:lncRNA
GCUAGAAUAACACAUCAACCCUGUUACCUAUAGAUAGACAGGCUAGAUUGUUUUGUACAAUUACCUUUUUUUCUUGUGAAGCUUGCCUUCAACUGCCACUCCCUGUUUUACACAACAAUCUUCCAUUCCCCCUGUCACAAGGGGAUUUAUGACUGAUUUAAGAUGAAAUCGUCAACCCUGGUAAAAAAGAAAAAAAAAAAUGAUUUCAUCUAAUUUUAAUAUUCUGUCAUAAAUAGCACAAGUUCAACGUAAUAAAAAACACUUCCCAGUUUAAUAAAAAAAAAUCUCCCAAGUUACACUUCUCAAAAAUCAUCCGACUUGUUGGAACGACACAGUUGUUUACAUUAGGUCCCGUGGGUCAAAGGUCAUGUACACUGCAGUGUGUUUAUACAAUGUCUCUUUCUGUUUACUGGGGGUGUGACGUUUUUCCAAAUGUUUGGAAGCUUGUCAUCUCUUAACAUAUUUCACACUGCCACAUUCAAGGAGCAGAAGACUCAUUUGGACGCUUGUAAGAAAUCCUGCUACGCCCUCCGACGAACCAUCAAACAGGCAAAGCAUCAAUACAGGAGUAAAAUCAAAUCCUACUACACUGACUCUGAAGCUCGUCGGAUGUGGCAGGGGCUUGCAAACUAUCAAGGAUCAUAAAGGGAAUCCCGCCGCGAGCUAUGCCCGCUUCGAGGCAAACAACUGUGUAAUCAAUCUCUCUGUAGCCGAUGUGAGUAAGACCUUUAAACAGGUUAACAGUCACAAGGCCACAGGGCCAUUUGGAGUACCAGGACGUAUACCCUGAGUAUGCGCUGACCAGCUGGCAAGUGUCUUCACUGACAUUUUCAACCUCUCCCUGACCCAGUCUGUAAUACCUACAUGUUCCAAGCAGACCACCAUAGACCCUGUGCCCAAGAACGCCAAGGUACCCUGUCUAAAUUAUUAUCGCCCCUUAGCACUCACAUCUGUAGCCGACGGACUAAUCUGGGUUUGGCGGAUGCCAGGAGUACACUACCUGCCCCAAUGCAUAGUGACAACUGUAAAGUUUGGUGGAGGAGGAAUAAUGGUCUGGGGCUGUUGUUCAUGGUUUGGGCUAGACCUCUUAGUUCCAGUGACAUUCUAGACGAUUUUGUGCUUCCAACUUUGUGGCAACAGUUUUGGGAAUUCCCUUUCCUGUUUCAGCAUGACAUUGCCCUCGUGCACAAAGCGAGGUCCAUACAGAAAUGGUUUGUCGAGAUCGGUGUGGAAGAACUUAACUAGUCUGCACAGAGCCCUGACCUCAACCCCAUCGAACACCUUUUUUGAUGAAUUGAAAACGCUGACUGCGAGCCAGGUCUAAUCAACCAACAUCAGUGCCCGACCUCACUUAUGCCCUUGUGGCAGGAUAGAAGCAAGUCCCUGCAGGCAAUGUUCCAACAUCUGAAGAGUGGAGGCUGUUAUAGCAGAAAAAGGGGGACAAACUCCGUAUUAAUGCCCAUGAUUUUAGAAUGAGAUGUUCGACGAGCAGGGCCCAUAAGUAAGUAUUUCACUUUUAGUCUACACCUGUUCUUUACGAAGAAUGUGACGAAUACAAUUGUAUUUUAUUUUAUUUGACUCGACUGCACUUGCACUGCAUAUCCCUCACUGGUUCACUGCAUGUCCCUCAUCGGUUCACUGCAUGUCCCUCAUCGGUUCACUGUAUGUCCCUCAUCGGUUCACUGCAUGUCCCUCAUCGGUUCACUGCAUGUCCCUCAUCGGUUCACUGCAUGUCCCUCAUCGGUUCACUGCAUGUCCCUCAUCGGUUCACUGCAUGUCCCUCAUCGGUUCACUGCAUGUCCCUCAUCGGUUCACUGCAUGUCCCUCAUCGGUUCACUGCAUGUCCCUCAUCAGUUCACUGUAUGUCCCUCAUCAGUUCACUGCAUGUCCCUAAUUGGAACCGCCCUUGCUGUCUCUGCCUGGCCGGUUCCCCUCUUUCCACUGGGAUUCUCUGCCUCUAACCCUAUUACAGGGGCUGAGUCACUGGCUUACUGGGGCUCUCUCAUACCGUCCCUGGGAGGGGUGCGUCACCUGAGUGGGUUGAGUCACUGAUGUGAUCAUCCUGUCUGGGUUGCCCCCCUUGGGUUGUGCCGUGUCGGAGAUCUUUGUGGGCUAUACUCAGCCUCGUCUCAGCAUGGUAAGUUGGUGGUUGAAGAUAUCCCUCUAGUGGUGUGGGGGCUGUGCUUUGGCAAAGUGGGUGGGGUUAUAUCCUUCCUGUUUGGCCCUGUCCGGGGGUGGCCUUGGAUGGGGCCACAGUGUCUCCUGACCCCUCCUGUCUCAGCCUCCAGUAUUUAUGCUGCAGUAGUUUAUGUGUCAGGGGGCUAGGGUCAGUUUGUUAUAUCUGGAGUACUUCUCCUGUCCUAUUCGGUGUCCUGUGUGAAUUUAAGUGUGCUCUCUCUAAUUCUCUCUUUCUUUCUCUCUCUCGGGGGACCUGAGCCCUAGGACCAUGCCUCAGGACUACCUGACAUGAUGACUCCUUGCUGUCCCCAGUCCACCUGGCCGUGCUGCUGCUCCAGUUUCAACUGUUCUGCCUUAUUAUUAUUGGACCAUGCUGGUCAUUUAUGAACAUUUGAACAUCUUGGCCAUGUUCUGUUAUAAUCUCCACCUGGCACAGCCAGAAGAGGACUGGCCACCCCUCAUAGCCUGGUUCCUCUCUAGGUUUCUUCCUAGGUUUUGGCCUUUCUAGGGAGUUUUUCCUAGCCACCGUGCUUCUACACCUGCAUUGCUUGCUGUUUGGGGUUUUAGGCUGGGUUUCUGUACAGCACUUUGAGAUAUCAGCUGAAGUACGAAGGGCU